GGGUGCGUAGCUCAGUUGGUAGAGCAACUGACUCUUAAUCAGUGGGUCCAGGGUUCGAGUCCCUGCGCGCCCACCA
rnacentral:tRNA from 4 species